GCUAAUAAGGGCUAACGGUGGAUACCU
rnacentral:rRNA from 1 species